rnacentral:lncRNA from 11 species
GUAACGGAGAGAGAGAUUUGUCCCUCCUUAACAGCAGCCAGCAAGAUUUCCAAUGAAUUGUUGAAUCUUCAAAGAAGAGAACUGGAAACUUCUAGUUAUCCUGCAGGACAUUUUUGCUAUAGCUUUUCAAUGAAUAAUGCUGCAUCAAGUCUCAACUUAGUUUGUAGCAGUCACAAAAUCAAAGUUUCUGGAAUAUAACAACUACUUUCAAAGUAAGUACUGCACAAGUAAACAGGAAAUAACACUUUUAAACCAGGAACAGAUUUUUUUUUAAAUUUUGUAACGUCGUGUAAUUCAGAAUAACAGAUGCCAAUAUUAUGACAAAUAAAUAGAUUUAUAUGAUUUCGC